AAAUUUAAAGACCAAAAGAAUAAGAAGCAAGAGACAAUUGAUAUUAGAUAAAGGGAGGAGGGUGAGAAUAUUUUAUUAAUGAUAUUGGUUUGGUCUACCUUUCUAUGGAGAGGUUCAGAGCUUUACAAUGUUGUAUUCUCUCUUCUUUCUCUUAGUAUUUAUAGCUAGGAGACCUGCGAGCUGGCGCCUAGGGAUUGGGG
rnacentral:lncRNA from 1 species